rnacentral:rRNA from 1 species
UACAUAGGGGGCAAGCGUUAUCCGGGUUUACUGGGUGUAAAGGGAGCGUAGACGGUUAUGCAAGUCAGAAGUGAAAGCCCAAAGCUCAACUUCGGGACUGCUUUUGAAACUGUGUAACUAGAGUGCAGGAGGGGUAAGCGGAAUUCCUAGUGUAGCGGUGAAAUGCGUAGAUAUUAGGAGGAACACCGGCGGCGAAGGCGGCUUACUGGACUGUAACUGACGUUGAGGCUCGAAAGCGUGGGGAGCAAACAGG